rnacentral:rRNA from 1 species
GUCUUGACNUCCUUUGACCNCUCGAGAGAUCGAGCUUUCCCUUCGGGGACAAAGUGACAGGUGGUGCAUGGUUGUCGUCAGCUCGUGUCGUGAGAUGUUGGGUUAAGUCCCGCAACGAGCGCAACCCUUAUUACUAGUUGCCAGCAUUCAGUUGGGCACUCUAGUGAGACUGCCGGUGACAAACCGGAGGAAGGUGGGGAUGACGUCAAAUCAUCAUGCCCCUUAUGACCUGGGCUACACACGUGCUACAAUGGAUGGUACAACGAGUCGCGAAGUCGUGAGGCCAAGCUAAUCUCUUAAAGCCAUUCUCAGUUCGGAUUGUAGGCUGCAACUCGCCUACAUGAAGCCGGAAUCGCUAGUAAUCGCGGAUCAGAACGCCGCGGUGAAUACGUUCCCGGGA